GUUAUGCCGUUAUUGUUUGUUGCUUCCCAAGCAGAAGGCGGCGGGUUCGAGUCCCGUACCCUGCUCCA
rnacentral:tRNA from 1 species